GGGGGAUUAACCCCUGAUAUGUAAAUGGACCAAAUUUAUAAUUGUCUGAAAAACUCAUUACUGUUGUUCAUCUUGGGUGUAGCCUCUCUUGGAGGCUUUUGACUGCCCCAGGUGUACCUAUUUACAGCCAAAGUGUGCCUUUAAUAAAUACCUACUUUUCAUCCUUUUAAUCUUGUCUAGCCUCUGUUCCAGGUAACCACUCCAAGGCAAGAGUUAGAUGGUGCAGAUACUUUUCUCCUUCUACAGUAUGUUCUACCUGAAGCAGUGCACACAGGGACUAUCAUGACAGACUGUCUGCACAGCAAGGACCAUGCACAGGGUUUGAGUCAAGGUUUCCAUCAUUUUCCUUCAUGGAAAAAAAAUUCCAAAAUAUGUCAUUGGCGGUGGAAGUUAUAUUAUUCAAGAAAAGUUAACAUACUGUGCAGGAAGCAGAGGCAUUUUGGAAAUAACACACCUAUGAGUUGUACACGGAGCUGUCUGCAUCUUGCAAGGCCAAUGUCUUCAUGGCCUGAGGUGAGGUGGACCUGAGGAAAAUUAUGUCUGGGACCACGGGGAACUGAGCCAAGCGUAGUCCAGGGAGAUGCCAAGAGCAGCUUCAUCUUCGAGUUCAGCUGAAGACAGUACCCGAGGGCUGUAGGCACCAUAUGAUGACACUGAUAUGGGACAGGAAUCACAGCUGACCAGGACAGCUUCCCUGUUCUGCUCUCCAUCAGCAGCAGCACCAAGACAAGCCAAAAUUCCAGCAUGUGACGCAUCAUCACAUUCCCAGCGUCAAACUUGCCUUAACACCAACUGGAAUACAAAAUGGGGCCAAAGCAAAGCCCUUGGACCUCUUGUUCCUCAUGUUUGUUUUUUUUUUUAACAACAAGCUAUAAGCAGAGCAGGAGGAAAUGGAGCAUAAAUAUUAUACUUUGUUUAGUCUUAGGAAAUAUAAUUUAUAAUUAGAGUUGGGCAUCCUGUUGACAUGACAGAAUCUAUUUCAAGAGUGAGGUGAGCACAUGGUCAAACUCUAAUCUUUUGUAAAUGAUUAAAAACUGCCAGUUCUUUUAUUCUUGUCUUCUUUCUUUGGUCUUAUCUUUAUCUUUUUUUUUUCUUUUUAAUGUAAUUUCUAGAAAGCAAGUGGGUUAACAUCAGUUCAAGAUAAUGAUACUUAUAGGGGCAGUGAUGUCUUGAAGUAUCUCAGCAGCUGGAAAUUUUGUUUUCUCUUCAUGCACUUCUGCUUGCCUUCAUGCCAUCCCCACCAACCAAGCCCAUUCACUUCUACUGUGGAAGAGUGGGAAUCCAUGAGACUUGGAGGGUGAGGAGAAGGUAAAGAUUGACUUUGUGUGACCAGCACUGGCCUGUGUGC
rnacentral:lncRNA from 1 species